rnacentral:tRNA from 1 species
GGAGAAGUACCCAAGUUGGCCGAAGGGGCGCCCCUGCUAAGGGUGUAGGUCGGGGUUAAACCGGCGCGAGGGUUCAAAUCCCUCCUUCUCCGCCA